GUAUUCACGUUGGCCACACAUAUACUAACAUUGGAAUGAUACAGAGAAGAUUAGCAUACCCCACUGUGCAAGGAUGGCACGCCAAUUCGUGAAGCAUUCCAUAUUUUU
rnacentral:snRNA from 1 species